GGAACUUCUGAAAUAGUCACAGGAGAUGAGAAGGGACCUGCAUCUACCUAUCACUCAGCUUCAACAAUAACCAACAUUUUGUCCAUCUUGUUUCAGUCACUUUCCCACUUUUUUCUUGAGAACAUUAAAGAAAAUUUCAACUCUCGUAUCAUUUCAUUUGUAAGUACUUCAAGGACUUCUGUAACUGACAAGGAGUUGUCCCUGAUGUCACCUAAUAGUUAGUCUCUGUUUAAAUUUCCCUGAUUAUCACAAGAGUGACCUUUUACAUUUGGUUUGUGCAAGUUAGGAUCCAAAUAUGGCCCGCAAAUCGCAGCUGGUUGUUACCUCAUAUAAAUUUCAUUCAUUCUGAACAGUACGCACACACGUUUUUAAUGGCAUGAUUUUUUGGAGAAACCAUAUCAGAGGUCCUAUAGAAUGUUCCCCACUCUGAAGUUGAUUGUUUCCUCAAAGUGUCAUUUAACUUGUUUCUGUAUAUCUACUAUAUUUGUUUUAACUAGUUAAGAGCUUAAUAAAUAAGAUUUGUGGUUCAAUUUUUGAGAAAGAAUAUUUUGUAAGUGGGGUCCGUUUUAAUUUGGGGUCAAGCUUAGCAUACUGUUGGAUACAUGUAAGUGGAUCCCUGCUAAUCCCAACCUCUUCUGCCUAGAGUGCUGCACCCAGUGUUAACGUCAGUCAAUUUCCCUCGAUUCCUUUGCUUCCUGUCUUUCCUUUUUCUUGUCCUCUCAACCUUGGUAGAGACCUAGGAAUUGCCUGAAUACUUUUGAAAAUAUUAGAUGUCCAAGAAUAAGCUGUAUUGAACAGUUGAGAAUUGAGUAAAGGUGCCUCAAUAUCUAGUUCAAAGGUUAAGUUCAAGUGGAUCAAGCAUGACUGUUAUAUUGAUGCCUUUACAGGUCACAGAAGGUAAUGCACACCUGAGACACACAUCUGUUCUUUAUGCCUCUGUACUCUUUGAGCUUACAGUACUUUAAGUGAGGUUUUUCUUUUUUAAGAGUGUUAACGUGGAAGGCCAUGAAAGCACUAGGUUCUAGUGAGUCUUGUUCCGUCAUACUGGAUCCCUCGGUACAGUGAGGGAGCCACGACAGAGCAGGGGGGCGGGGCACUUUCCUGUCUCCCUGGAAUACAUUCCUUCUCUUAUUUUAGAUACGGUGUUGGAGGCAUCUCUUCAGGGCCGCACAUAAUACAAGAAGUACCACCAAACAGAGCAAAGAGAUGUCCAGGAUGUGAGAUCGCCAGAAUUGUCCAGAAAUUAAGAAAGGCAGAACAGUUCUCCUUUCUCUCUGGUUCCAGGAAAUAAUAAGACAACUGCCAAUUUUAAUGAAAUCACUUGACUGUUCUGAGUGUCUCCAUGUCUCAAUGAUGGAACAGAAACAUUCAGAUCUCUGCAAGGAUGGAGUAGGAGCAAAAAAGUUUCUGUGCUGGAGACCACAGGCUUACGGUCUGAUGACAUUUGCCAGCCUUGUGAAUGGGUUCCCAGAGCCCUGGCGCCUCUUUCUUCCCAACUCUAGAAACCAUUUGGGGAUGCAAGUAAGCAAGGUUGCAGACAACAUAGACUAACUCCAGCCACUAACAUUAAAGGAAUGUGCUGAAGCGACACUGAGUUUCUGAAUUCUCAGAGAAAACUGAGGCUCACAGAGUUAAGUAACUUGACCAAGGUUGACCAGCUAUUAAAUGAUAGAACUCGAAUUUGACCCCAGAACUGCUAACGCCUGCUUAACCUUGAUGCUAUGCAAGCAACAGUCCCUUGAAGGAGGCUACACAAGCCAAAGUUGGAAACAGAGAAACUCACUUACUACUUAGGAAUAUAAUUUCCAUUUCCUCUCCUAAUGGGACCAGCUACCACCAGUUGCCAUGAAAAUUAUGGAACUUCAAGUUUUGGUGUCUUGUCUAAAGGAUAAAAUUUAUGUUUUUAUUCAGUUUUGUAUAGAUGUCUCUUGAAAGAAGUAUUCAAAGUGUAGAACUUCCACAAAGCUUCAUUUUAGCAAAGAUAUAGGUCUGUUUAACCAUCAAGAUUAAAAAUAUGAGUUUUUUUUGUCUCAGACUAAUCUGAGUUUGACAGAUCUACUAUUUCCUAACUAUGCGAUUCUGGACAAGUUACUAAACACCUUGAGUUGGAUUUCUUUGACUUUACAGUGUUCCAAAGGUUAGAAGAGCUGAUGUACAUAGAAAGUUUACCACAUUGUCCUGAACUUAACAAAUUCUCAAAACACUGUUACCAUGUCGCAGAUAAUAAUAUGUAACCCCACUAAGAAUAGGUGUGUUAAGCUUCUCACUUAUAAUAAAGCCUAAAUAAAACACUAACUCAUCACUUGCCGAUACCUUGCUUCCCUCUGGAGACCUGCUCUUUCCUUCAGAAAAUCCUAAUCCACUGACAGCUGAUGGCAUUUAAUUCUAGAGUAAUUAUUAGGAAGUCAGUUAAGUAUUUAUCCUUCAGCUGUAAGUUUAUGCUUUAGCAAGAAAUAUUCUUUGAAGGGAUAUUGAGGGUCACUGUUGGUCCACAUCAGCUGAGGUUCCACAUGGGGUUUGUGGAGUUCAAUAAUCAGAUAAGCAGGAAUCAUAUGGCGAAAAGAAAUCAAAGUCAAUGUAAUAAAGAGCUCUGUGGAGCACGUCACUCAGGCUAAGAUGACUGAAGCCCCCGCUGCAGUUUGUGUGGCUUAUAAACCUUAUCAGGCUCUCACACUUGGUCUAUUUCCUUCAUCUUUUUUUUUCUUUUUCCUAAUUUCCUUCAUCUUUUACCUGCUUUAAUUCCACCAACUCUUUUUCCAGGCUCUGGAAGUGCUCCUUUGAUUCCCAAUGAUGUAUUUUCUUGUGUCCUAUUAUUUUUUUUCUGAAAUGUGAUCAGAGUUUUCAGUCAGUACUUGGGGACCACAGUGAGCUUCCUCCAAGCACUUGGAUGUAAGAUUAUGAGGAGUGACAAGCCAGUUUCUCUGCUGGAUGCCUCUAGCAACUUCCUCUCAGUAGUCCAGUAAUGAGCUGGCCCUGCUGAGACAGUCAAAACUUCUACUGGUUGACACUGAUGCUGAUAAUGCAAACUUCCCAUAAGAUGGGCACUGAGAAUUGAAUGUUUUUCGCACUGGCAAGGCCAUGCCUCAUUGUCAGAGCCACAGGGUCAGGUGAUCUCUGUCACCUCCCAGCUAUAAAUGUAUGAGGUGGCAGAGGGCUGUGGGGAGGUGGGGGUCGCCUCUCUCCUGGCAAAUUUAAAUGAUCUCCAGUGGUGCCAACUUAAGCAGGACAUACUCAACUUGAAGCUGAGGGAUGGCUAGAGACUAGGGGACUGCCUGCGUUCUGUUCCUUGAGCCCAAAUGUUGAUGUCUUCAUUGUGCGUCAUUCUAGUAUUUGACCGUAUCUCUUUUGCAACAGAAAAUAAUAAUUGUUUCUUAUAAUUGGAUUUUAAAACAAGCACAUAACACUUUAGAAUGGGGAUACCUAAAUUCAAUCCCAAGAACUGUAAGAUAUGCCCAUAACUCAUUUGGCUGAUCCAUUCAUUCCUUUUUUUAAAAAAAUUUUGGUAAAAUACACCUAAUAUGAAAUUUACUAUCUUCAUCAUUUUUAAGUAUAAAAAUCAGUGGUAUUCAGUACAUUCAUACUGUGAUGCAACCAUUACUACCAUCCACCUCCAUAACUCUUUUCAUCACUUAGACUUACUGAGACUCUGUACGUAUUAAAGAAUAAUUCCUCAUCCCCCCUCAUCAGAGCCCCUGGCAACCACCAUUCUACUUUCUAUGUCUAUGAACCUGAGCUCCCUAGGUACCUUACAUCUGUGGAAUCAUGCAGUAUUUGUCUUUUUGUUCCAUUCAUUCUUAAGUUUCAUUGAUAGAACCAGAAGUUAGCCAGUGGACUUUCUAGAACACUUGGCAAUCUCGAUGCAUUAAGCAUUUGUAAGUAUAUCUGAUUUUCUUUAUUCCAAUGCCAUGUUCACAAAGCAACCUUCUGAUUAUGGUAUACCUUCUUCCUGCUGAUAAAAUGAGUUGCCUCCCCAGCAUCCAUCCCAUCCCAUUUAUACUGUAUGGCUUUGUACUGCAGGUGGGGUGGUAUUACCAUCCCUUAGCUCCAGAAAUUGGCCGUAAACCAAUUUUCAUAAACCCAUUCUCUUUGCCACAGUGAUUGAGUCAGGUAUGGGCACUAACCUAAGCCUAAACAAGUCCUCUGGCUACAGCGAUGAGUUCAUGGACAGGUACUUAAUAUAAGUCAGUCCAAUCAAAGUGAAGUUUAGGACUUUUAUUUGAUUGUUAGGCAUAAAGAAGCCAUCCUUCUUUUCCUAGAGUUUAAUUUAAAAAUGCAUAUCAUCUUAUUGCUAUUGGCAGCUAUUUUGUAGCCAGGAGAAGAACUAGUCCUAAGAGGGUGCCCAUAUUGUGGAAAAUAGGACCAAUACAUGGAAAGAAAUUUAAUCAUGGUAAUAAUCUUAAAACCUGCUGGAUCAAGCCUUGCCUGGAGCACUCCCUUCCACAGACCUUUUGAGAUAUAUGAGUCAGUAAAUUCUCUUUAUUUUUUUAACCAGAUUUGAACUGGAUUUUCCAUUCCUGGUUUUUAAAUACACUUUAAUGGAUUAUCCAUAAAAAUCUACAGAGUCAGAAAGCAGUGGUUAAAUGGACUUUAUAUAUUCCUGUUGACACUAAUUUCUCAUUGUGAAAAAUAAAUUGGUAUUCUGUUUUAUACAUUAUCUUCUUUAGUGUGUUUAAUGUGAGAUGUGGAUUCAUUCUCAGGACCCUGAUAAAAUUUAGUUUCUGACUUUGUCCUGUUGGGGACCAUGGCAUACAUUCAAAGUAAUGAAUAUCGUACUGUGGAGGCAUCUUGGGAGAAGACCUUAGUGACCAUAUAUGGUCUGCCUUGAUAGAUCUUGAACCUGAGUUUCCAUUUCAUUGCUUUGAAUUUCUGUAGCCAUUGGAAAUUUUUCAGGACAUCAGUGAUGGGUCUGAAAUAGAAGCCAGUGCUAGUAGCCCUGGGUUCUGACACUCGACCUCACAAUCCUGGGAGCCUCCUGCUUAGGUCCUGCUCCAGUCUGAGCCCUUUGCAGGGAGCUCUGAUGGAAGUGUCAGCAUCUAGUGCAAUGCCUAGUAUCUCCUGCACUGACGGAAGCUGAGGGGCCCCUCUAGUGCUGUCUUUGCAGCUGAGAAGAUGAGAAGAUACCAAGUUCAGUGAAGGGUCAAACUGCUUUUCCUGGUCUUGUCUAGCAACUCUUCGCACUUAUCCAGAGGCACUAGAUGAGACCUUUUUGUGGUAAUAUUGUGUGUUCUCAGUGUUUCCCUGCUUCCUACUCCAUACAUAAAAAGAUCUAUGCAUCAUUUCUCUUUCUGAUGGCCCUGGGUAAAAAUAGAUUACACACUGGAAAGAAACAGCACAUUAACAGUAGGGUUGUUUCCACAGGGUGUGCUCGUGAAGCAUUUCUUUCUAAAGGUACUCCUCGUGCAAAAAAAGAUGCUAACAGAAGAUUGCAAUUACACAGAAAACCUAAUUAUUGCUUUUAAUUUUGCUCUACAAGUUGAGAGCUCUUUGAAUGCAGGGAAAGUUGUAGGUGAAAUCACAUUCAGCCAUCCUCCGGAAUGUCCGUGGACACAUAUUCCAUCAGCUGUGGUUAAACGCAGAGCUCUUUGUCCGGUUAGCAUCAAGGCAAGAAGUACUUGGAAUUCCAGCCCAUAAACAUUUAAACACAGCCACUCUAAAACUACUGUGGCCCUGACUUGUAUUUUCUCAUUUCCAGUGAAGGGGCCAUUUUUAAACAGAGCAUGCUAUGUGAACUGGUAGAAUAGAGUGCCACAAAAGUCUUUAUUAAAUUAUAGGUGGACUUGUGGGUUCUGCUCAGGGCAAAGGAGGGUUGGCUGAGUUGAAGUGAAAUAGGUCAUACUGAUCUGAAAGGUCCACUGGGCCCUAGAUAUUAGGGAGGAGAUCAUAAGUGGAAGCUAUUUUUAUUUUCAUCUUCUAGGCUUUCUAUUCUACAUGGACAAUUGUCAGGAUUGAAUAAGCCAUGACAUGAAAACGACACAUUUUCUAAUUGGUUCCUUGGAAAACUUCAGAAUAAACCAGUUUACCUUCUGUAAAAUCAUAGAAGUGAGCAAACUCUCAAAGUCAGCUCCACGGUUAAAACAGGAAAGCCUCAAAGCAAUCCAUGAUGUAUGGGCCUCGGGUAUAUGUUACCCUCUCUAGAGCAAAUACUUCAUUUCUCUUGUGGCUGGUGUUUCCCAGGGUGUAUUACAUCUUCUACCUCCUGUGCUUUCAUUAGGAGGAGAAGAUGGCUGUAGAUUUAAUGUCAGAGCUUCUGCUGAGCUUCGCCACUUCUAGGAAUGUCCUUGGUUUUGUCUGUUCACUGUGACUUUCCAUAUUGUUUAUAAAUAAACUUCUUGGGUGCUGUGUGCAUGAGAAAAAUGUGAAGAUGAGUGGGAGUUAGGUUCUAAAUUAAACAGCAGUGUUUCCUUAAAUUGGGGCCAAUGUGUUAGCAGAAGCAGUGGUAUUUGGAAAUUAUUGCUGAAAGUUCUGGGAUUCUUGAAGGAAAGUUCAGAACUCCUGAAGGCUAUGUGUGUUAAAUAUGCAUAUUGAAAGGAAAGAACUGUUGAUAACUAAUAUAGACGUUUGCUGUCUGUACUCACUGAACUUGUGUGUUCACUUUAUGCUGCUCAAGCCAGUGAUAUAACCAAUCACACACUCAGCUGAUGACUACUAAUGUCUCUGAAGCAAAACAAGACAAUUUUUAUCUAAAAGAAAAAUUUCUUCCCUUAUUUUCUUCUAGAAGAUCACUGAGAUGGCUAGAAUUUCUACGUUGUUUGUGCCCCAGAAGAGCUUCCAGUAGAUAGUGCAAAGGACAAGGAGAGAAUAAAGAAGAAAAGAUAAUGAUCAAACGCCUCUUUGUUGGCAAAAAUAACAUUGCUGCCUCCAAAGGUUUGUGUAAUGUUUCCAUUUACCUAGAAGCCCCUGUGCUUUCUGGGGAGUUUCUGUGAAGGUCCUACUCUGUACGGGGUAAAGAUCAACAAAAGAGCAAUUCCCAGUGGAUGGAAUGGAAUUGUCUCUCUUCCCUGUAGAAUCAAGAUAUAAAAUGAAUCUGGACAUUUGUUCAGGGGGUCUUAGCACCGGAAGCAGUUUCAUGCAUGGAUGUGGCAUUGCUCUCAAGGGAUUCCUGUAAAUAUAUCACACAACGAACUGUUCCCCGCAGUAGUGCUAGGAAAGGCAUCUUCAAAGAGGUAAGGAUGUACACUGGCUCCUUACCUGGACACCUGGGAAAUCCUGAUUGUCUGUUGAACAAAGUCAAACGUCUCUGAUCUCUGUUUCCUAUGUGGAAUUGUCCUUUCUUUGUGCCCCUGUAUAUUUAGUUCUUCAUUUAUUUAGUUCUUGCCUCUGUUAUACCUUUCAAAGUAUUACAAAUAUCUGUUGACUUGCCUUAUGCCAGGAACUGUGCUAAGUGUUUUACCAGUGACUCUUAAUAACCACCUUAGUAUUAUCUCCAUUUUACAGAUAAGGAAGUGAAGUAAUGUAUGAAAAGUGCCUAAUAUCUAGCAUAGAGUAAAAAUGCAAAAUAAAUUAUUAGAAAUAGUGAAUACAAGUAUUUAUGUAUUGACCUAAUAUUCCUUUGAGAUAAGGGCAGAGUCUUAUUCUUUUUUGUAGUCCUAACCCCUAAUAGAGUGCUUGGGACCUACAAAGUGCUUAAUUAAUUUUGGUUAAAGAUCUGAGUGAUUAACCAGAUCUGAAUCUGCUUAGGAGUGUAUAGUAGAACAAAAGUGAUUCAGGUUAUAUAGGAAGUAGAGCUUCAUAUCUUUGAUAAAAUAUUUAUCUUCUUAUAAAAAUAGUAGAAGCGCAUUGAAGAAAAUUAGGACAAUACAGAAGAAUAUAUACUUUUCACAGUCAUUUUUCACCAGAGACAAUAAUUUUCCUUCCAGUCUUUUCUCGAUGCAUUUCUCCUUUGAUAUCAUAUUAUAUAUUCAGCUUUGUAGGUUGCUUUUGGGCUAUUGCAAUAUCAUAAAUAUUUUUCCAUGUUUCCAUGUCAUCAAAAACUUUUAGUAAACUUUACUUCUAAUUGGCAUACAGUUAAAUUUGUUUAUUAUAGGAAUUUACUUACCCUUUCCCUUUAUGUUCAAUAUUUAGGGUGUUUAUAAUUUUUCACAAUUAUAAAUAGCAUUGUAAUGAGCAUCUUUGUAAUAUAUAUAAGUCUUUGUGCACAUCUCUGGUAAUAACUGUGGUAUAAGAAUUUGUAGGCAUGGAAUCAGUGAUCAAAGCAUAUCAGUAUUUUUAGGCUCGUGAUACAUAGGCACAUUGCCAGUAUGCACCCAAGAGAGGUUAUACGAGUUUAUACACAUACUAGCUGUGUCUGAGCACACUCACCAACAUUAUUAUUACCUUUUACAUUUUUACUAAUUUGAUAAACUGAGAAAGACAUUGAUCCAGGCUCAGAAGGCUUACUGUAUGGUUAUAUUUAUAUAACAUUUUGUAAAAGGGAAAACUGUAGGGAAAAAAGUUGGAUCAGGGUCUGGGUGUGAGGAAGAGAUUGUCAGGAAAGGGGUCUGAGGGAACUUUAUCUUGUGGGGUGGGGGGGAAGAGUGCCAUAUCUUGAUUUUCCUGGGACUUUUACAACUUGUGUAUAUUUGUAAAACUCAUUGAACUAUACACUUGAAAAGGGUGAAUUUAUUGUACAUAAAUUAUACUUCAAUAAAGCUGACUUUU